AGAGCCCAGCAUGGAGUCUCCACAUCAGCCCAGGACCCGCACGCACUGCCACUGCUAGCCGUGGCCACGACAGUUCCCUGUGCCUCAGAGCCUCAUUUUCUUCAUCUGCGAGGUGCAGAUAGUGCACCCCUAUGAAGCUGUGGUGAGGCUGAGAUUAAUUAGGGAUCGUGUGUGGGAAUGCUCCUGAAACUCCCAGCAAGUCUGGCGGAUGAGCGGCCGCCAUCCUGAUGUUCGUCUUUCAUUUUAGGGACCUUCUUGUGUGAGACGCCUGUGUUAGCAAUGCAUGAAGAAAACGUUUACACGGUGGAGUCAAACCGAGUUCAAGUUCGAACCUGGCAGGUAAGUUGCUGCUCCACUGCAAGAAAACCAGAGCAGAGUUUGAAAUCCUGCCUCUCAAUUGAGACAAAGCCUGUUUAUUGAUUUCACCUAAGGUUAUUAGUCCUUUCUCACACUGUGUAAAGAACUACCUGAGACCGGGUAAUUUAUAAAGAAAAGAGGCUUUGUUGACUCACAUUACUGCAGGCUUUACAGGAAGCAUGACUGCGGAGGCCUCAGGAAACUUACAAUCCUGGUGGGAGGCGAAUGGGAAGCAGGCACAUCCUACAUAGCCGGAGCAGGAGGAAGAGAGAGCGAAGCGGGAGGGGCCACACUCUAAACAGCCAGAUUUCGUCAGAUCUCUAUCACAGAACACACUAGGAAACUGUGAGAAACCACCCCCAUGAUCCAGUCGCCUCCCCCCAGGCCCCACCUCCAACAUUGGAGAUUACAAUUCAUCGUGAGAUUUGGGUGGGGACACAGAACCAAACCAUAUCACCUCGCUAGAUGGGAUUUCCCGCGUCAGGUGCUUGAUGGUGAAAAUGAAUCCUAGGACAGCUGUUUAAUCUGUGGCUGUCACUUCAGAAAUCGGGAGACAAGUUCUGGAAGCCAGAAGUCUGCAAUCCAGGUGCUGUCCAGGCUGGUGCCUUCUGGAGGCUCUGAGGGUGAGCCUCCAGCUCUUCCACCUUGCCUCUUCCAGCAUGAGGUGGCGCUGGCAGGCUUUGCUGUUCCUUGGCUUGUGCACUUGACCUUGAACCACAAGGUCUGAACUGCAGGGGCCACUUAGAUGCACAUUUCUUCUGGUUCUGCCACCCCGAGACACCAAGAUCAGCAACCUCCUCUGCCUGUUCAGUGUGAAGAUGAUGAGGAUGAAGAGC
rnacentral:lncRNA from 1 species